rnacentral:rRNA from 1 species
UACGGGGGGGGGCAAGCGUUGUUCGGAAUUACUGGGCGUAAAGGGCUCGUAGGUGGCCAACUAAGUCAGACGUGAAAUCCCUCAGCUUAACUGGGGAACUGCGUCUGAUACUGGACGGCUUGGAUUCGGGAGAGGAAUGCGGAAUUCCAGGUGUAGCGGUGAAAUGCGUAGAGAUGUGGAGGAACACCGAUGGCGAAGGCAGCCCCCUGGGUCAAGAUUGACGCUCAUGCACGAAAGCGUGGGGAGCAAACAGG